GCUGCUGCUGCUGCUGCUGCUGCUAAGUCGCUUCAGUCGUGUCCGACUCUGUGCGACUCCAUUGACGGCAGCCCACCAGGCUCCUCUGUCCAUGGGAUUUUCCAGGCAAGAGUACUGGAGUGGGGUGCCAUUGCCUUCUCUGGUAUGUUUCUUAUCUCAGAACAUUUUUCAUGCAUAAAAAUAAAUAUAGAUUCCUCAAAAAAUUAAACAGAAUUACCAUGUUAUCAAGAAAUUUCACUCCAGGGUAUAUACCCAGAAGUACUGAAAGUACUCUUGAGAGUCCCUGGGACUAGGAGGAGAUGAAACCAGUCCAUCCUAAAGGAAACCAGUCCUGAAUAUUCACUGGAAGGAAUGACACUGAAGCUGAAGCUCCAAUACUUUGGCCACAUGAUGCAAAGAAUUGGCUCCUUAGAAAAGACCCAGAUGCUGGGAAAGAUCGAAGGCAGGAGGAGAAGGGGAUGACAGAGGAUGAGAUGGUUGGAUGGCAUCACCGACUUGAUGGACAUGAGUUUGAGCAAGCUCCGGGAAUAAGUGAUGAACAGGAAAUCCUGGCAUGCUGCAGUCCAUGGGGUCACAAAGAAUCAGGCACGACUGAGCGACUGAAGUGAACUGAACUGAUUCAAGGUAGAAAUCCAAAGGAAUAUUUGCACACUCAUGUUCAUAACAGUGUUAUUCACUAUAGUUGAAAGAUGGAAAGAAAACAGUUCAACAGAUGAAUGGAUAAAAUGGUACAUGCAUACAAUGGAAUAUUACUCAGCCUUAAAAAACAGGGAAUUCUGACACAUACUACAGUAUGAGGGAAUCUUGAGGACAUUAUGCUAAGGGAAAUAAGCCAGCCACAAACAAACAAAUAUUGUACGAUUCCACUUAUCUGAGGUGUCUAAAGUAACCAAAUUCAUAGAGGCAGAAAGUAGAAUGGUGGUUGCUUGGAGGGGGAAGGGACAGUGGGUGAUAGGGAGUUACUGUUUGAUGGUACCGAACUUCUGUUUGGGAAGAUGAAAAAGUUCUGGAAACGACUGGUAGUGAUGCCUGCAUAACAUUGUGAAUAUACCUAAUGCCCCUGAUCUGUACACUUAACAUGGUUCAAAUGGUAAAUUUUGUGUUAUGUAUAGUUUACCAUGAAUUAAAAAAUACAUAAGAUUACAAAGCAAAAAAAAAAUUCACUGAAAUACAGAUAUCAAAAAAUUUUUAGAGAACGGUGUGAUAUAGUCAUAUGUAUAUGACUUCCCUGAUGGCGCAGUGGCAAAGAAUCUGCCUGUAAUGCAGGAGCCACAGGAGAUGCAGGUUUGAUCCCUGGGUUAGGAAAAUGCCUGGAGAAGGGAAUGGUAGCCCACUCCAGUAUUCUUGCCUAGAGAAUCCCAUGGACAAAGGGACCUGGUGGGUUACAGUUUAUAGGGUCACAAAGAGUCAGACACAACUGAAGUGACUUAGCACACAGCACACACACACACAUAUGCCUCUUUAUGAAUGAAUAACAUAACCCAUUCUAACAAAAAGUCUAGUAACUACCUGCCUGUGAAUAAGAAAUAGAUAUAUAUUCAGUCUCUUCCCACAGUUCCUGACACAGAACUCCUAAGUUCCUUGGAAUGUCCUGAGUGAUAGAAGCAUCUUUUGUUCUAAUGAGGGACUCUUGGUGAGCUCCUGGUUAGCUUCAGGAUGGGGGCUGGUCACCAGAUUAGAAGUUUGGAACUUUUUAAAUUUUUUUGACCACGCUGCUUGACUUGGUGGGAUUUUAGUUCCCCAACUAAAAAGAUCGAGCCAGGGCCCUCUGCAGUGAGAGCUCGGACCUCGAGGGAAUUCCCUAGAAGCUUGGAACUUUGAAUCCUAUCCUCUGUCCGGCAGGAAGGGGAGAGGGGCUGGAGAUUGAGUUAAUAAUCAUGAGGAAGCCUCCAUAAAAAUCUCUAAAGUAUAGGGUUCGGAAUGGUGAACACGUCCACCUGAGGGGAGGGGGUGCACCCCAACUCCCUGAGGACAGAAGUUCCUGGACUCAGUCCCUUCAGACCUCACCUCUUUGUAUGGCUGUUCAUCUCUGUCCUGUAUAAUGUCCUUUAUGAUAAACUGGUAAACAUAAGUAAAUGUUUCUGGGUUUGCUGAGCCAUUGUAGGAAAUUAUCCAAUCUGAGGUGGGGUAUGUGGGACCCUUAGUUUUGCAGCCAAAUGGAACAGAAGUGUGGUACCACAGGGACCCAGGACUGUGGUUGAAUCUGAACUGAAAGAAGUGCUGUGGGACCGAGGUCUUAAAGCUGUGGAGUCUGACAAUAACUCCAGGUAGAUAGUCUCAGAAAUGAAUGCAAUUGUAGGGCACCCAGUUUGUGUCCAGAGAGUUACAAAAUUGAUGUGCGGAAAAAACCCACACAUUUGGUGUCAGAGUGUGGUGAGUAAAGAAACCGUUUUCCUUUAUUACCACAGUGACAAAGAAGGGAUGAGUAUAAAUAUUUUCAAAACACCUUCAAUCGUGUAAGAUGAGAAAGUCACAGACACUGCCAAUUAUUCUGAGUGUGUUGGCUGCAUUCAUAACGGAAGGAAAUGUUAAAUUUCUGUUAGACCUUAGUGUAAAUAAAGGGAGUUUUUACCCUUCCAGGUUUCUAGAGUCCUUCAGUUUUGUCUCCCUGAAUUUUAUAUCUGCUGACUUCUAAGGAGUCCCCACACCCCUGGUUAAGAAUUUCUGAAGGCUGUGUAUAAGAAAUGUGACCUUAAAUAACUGUGUGUUUAUUUACAAGGCUCUUCACAACAGCACUGGGAAAGACCCAGAACAACCUAAAUGUUCAUUAAUAGGAAACUGGACAAGUACGUUUUGGUGCAUUCUGAAGCACAGCCAUAGAAGCAAUCGAGAGUGUUCUCUAUGUACCCAUAUCGGAGGAUCCCCUUUCAAAAAAAGCCAAAAAAUAAGGAGAAAGAAUCUGCAUAGAUAUUUCUUUAUAUGGGCUAUCUCUGGAAGAGUCCACUUGAAAAUGGUCACUUUGCUUGCUUCCUAGACAGAGAGAGGAGCUGGGUUCAAGAGUCAGAGAGGGCGUUUCCUGUAUGUUUUGUAUAUCCUUAAAGUACAGAACUAUGUAAAUAUAUGUAAAUAUAUCAC
ensembl:lncRNA